GGCGGCCUACGGGAGGCAGCAGUGGGGGAUAUUGCACAAUGGGGGAAACCCUGAUGCAGCGACGCCGCGUGGGUGAAGAAGCGCCUCGGCGCGUAAAGCCCUGCCAGCAGGGAAGAAAAUCACGGUACCUGAAGAAGAAGCCCCGGCUAACUACGUGCCAGCAGCCGCGGUAAUACGUAGGGGGCAAGCGUUAUCCGGAUUUACUGGGUGUAAAGGGGGCGCAGACGGCGAUGCAAGCCAGGAGUGAAAGCCCGGGGCCCAACCCCGGGACUGCUCUUGGAACUGCGUGGCUAGAGUGCAGGAGG
rnacentral:rRNA from 1 species